rnacentral:rRNA from 1 species
GACGAACGCUGGCGGCGUGCCUAAUACAUGCAAGUCGAGCGCAGGAAACUGACGGAACUCUUCGGAGGGAAGGCAGUGGAAUGAGCGGCGGACGGGUGAGUAACACGUAAGGAACCUGCCUCAAGGAUUGGGAUAACUCCGAGAAAUCGGAGCUAAUACCGGAUAGUUCAACGGACCGCAUGGUCCGCUGAUGAAAGGCGCUCCGGCGUCACCUUGAGAUGGCCUUGCGGUGCAUUAGCUAGUUGGUGGGGUAACGGCCCACCAAGGCGACGAGGCAUAGCCGACCUGAGAGGGUGAUCGGCAACACUGGGACUGAGACACGGCCCAGACUCCUACGGGAGGCAGCAGUAGGGAAUCUUCCACAAUGGACGAAAGUCUGAUGGAGCAACGCCGCGUGAGUGAUGAAGGUUUUCGGAUCGUAAAACUCUGUUGUAAGGGAAGAACACGUACGAGAGGAAAUGCUCGUACCUUGACGGUACCUUACGAGAAAGCCACGGCUAACUACGUGCCAGCCGCCGCAGUAAGAC